AUUGAACGCUGGCGGCAUGCCUUACACAUGCAAGUCGAACGGCAGCACGGGAGCAAUCCUGGUAGCGAGUGGCGAACGGGUGAGUAAUAUAUCGGAACGUGCCCAGUCGUGGGGGAUAACGCAGCGAAAGCUGUGCUAAUACCGCAUACGAUCUACGGAUGAAAGCGGGGAAUCGCAAGACCUCGCGCGAUUGGAGCGGCCGAUAUCAGAUUAGCUAGUUGGUGGGGUAAAGGCCCACCAAGGCGACGAUCUGUAGCUGGUCUGAGAGGACGACCAGCCACACUGGAACUGAGACACGGUCCAGACUCCUACGGGAGGCAGCAGUGGGGAAUUUUGGACAAUGGGCGCAAGCCUGAUCCAGCAAUGCCGCGUGCAGGAUGAAGGCCUUCGGGUUGUAAACUGCUUUUGUACGGAACGAAACGGCCCUUUCUAAUACAGGGGGCUAAUGACGGUACCGUAAGAAUAAGCACCGGCUAACUACGUGCCAGCCGCCGCGGUAA
rnacentral:rRNA from 1 species